rnacentral:rRNA from 1 species
UAGUGUUCCUCGCAUGCUUUUGACGGGUAACGGGGAAUUAGGGUUCGACUCCGGAGAGGGAGCCUGAGAAACGGCUACCACAUCCAAGGAAGGCAGCAGGCGCGCAAAUUACCCAAUCCCAACAUGGGGAGGUAGUGACAAGAAAUACUGAUAUAGGGUCCUAUAGGAUCUUGUAAUUGGAAUGAGUACAAUUUAAACCCAUUAACGAGGAACAACUAGAGGGCAAGUCUGGUGCCAGCAGCCGCGGUAAUUCCAGCUCUAGUAGCAUACAUUAAAAUUGUUGCAGUUAAAACGCCCGUAGUUGAAGUUUGGGCCUGGUCAACUGGUCUGCCUCACCGCGAGUACUGGUAUGAUUGGGUCUUUUUUCUUGGUGUACUGCAUGCUCUUUAUCAGGGUGUGCUAGUAAACUAGGACUUUUACUUUGAAAAAAUUAGAGUGUUUAAAGCAGGCUUUUGCUCGAAUACCUUAGCAUGGAAUAAUGGAAUAUGACGUGUGGUUGUUUUUCAUUGGUUUUCACGACUACCGUAAUGAUUGAUAGGGAUGGUCGGGGGCAUCGGUAUUCGAUC